rnacentral:lncRNA from 1 species
GAGUUGUAGCGUACCCUGGGGUCUGUUCUGGAGGAGGCCUGAGAGCGGGGUUGCCUGGGGCGUGGGUCUCUCAUCCCUCUCGUCCUGGUGAAGAAGAAGAGUAUACCCAGCGGCAGCUGGCUUGGCUUUUUCAGAGGAAACAGAGACUCUCAGACAUGAAUACUGUGACACUGACCACCAGGCCAACUUAACAUCAGCAGAUAUCCUGUCUCAGAUGAAGAGAAUGGCCUGUCCAGAAGACAGCCAAAUACAUCCUUCAAACAGACUUCACUGCAGGAGACAGAGUGGAUUCAUCCUGUAUUCUCCAUGUAGACUUCCAUCUUCAUGAGUACUCCAAGAAGAUGGUUCAGUUGACUAUUGCAAAGUCUCAGGUAUGUCUUUAUCAGCAGCAUGAAAAUGGACUAAUAGUACCAGUAGAGUGGGGCAUUGCUGAAAAGAUACCCGAAAAUGUGGAAGCAACUUUGGAACUGGGUGUUGAAAUAAUCUGGAGGGCUCAGAAGAAGAUAGGAAAAUGUAGGAAAGUUUGGAACCUCCUAGAGACUGUGAAUGGCAUUGACAAAAAUACUGAUAGUGAUAUGAACAAUAAGGUCCAGGCUGAGGUGGUCUCAGAUGGAGAUGAAGACCUUGUUGGGAACUGAAGUAAAGGUGACCCUUGUUAUGUUUUAGCAAGGAGACUGGCAGCAUUUCACCCUUGCCCUAGAGAUUUGUGGAACUUAGAGCUUGAGAGAGAUGACUUAGGGUAUCUGGUGGAAUAAAUUUCUAAGCAGCAAAGCAUUCAAAAGGUGACUUGGGUGCUGUUAAAAACAUUCUGUUUUAAAAGGGAAACAAGAGCAUAAAUGUGGAAAAUCUGCAGCCUGAUGAUGCAGUAGAAAAGAAAAACCCAUUUUUUUUAAGGAGAAAUUCAAGCUGGCUGCAGAAAUUUGCAUAAGCAGCAAGGAGCCUAAUGUU